rnacentral:rRNA from 1 species
AGUCGAACGCCCCGCAAGGGGAGUGGCAGACGGGUGAUUAACCCCUGGGAACGAACAAAAAACUUCCGAAUAGCCCCGGGAAACUGGGUGUAAAACCGGAUACGCCGUAUUGGGAAAGAUUUAUCGGCGAAAGAUCGGCCCGCGUUGGAUUAGCUAGUUGGCGGUGUAAUAGACCACCAAGGCGACGAUCCAUACCUGGUCUGACAGGAUGAUCAACCACACUGGGACUGAAACACAGCCCAUACUCCUACGGGAGGCAGCAGUGGG